AAUUGCAGAAGCAAAAGUUUGAGAAGAAGAAGAAGUUGAGUGAGGAACAAAAGGCUGAGCCCAUUGCAAACAUGUAGUGGCAACUUUCACUCCCAUUUUUGUCCACUCAAAAACUCUUAAACCAGAGGUUAUAUUGAGGGUUGAAAAAAACAACAACUCAAAAUCUCAAAACCGAAACCCAGAAUACUAGCAACAAAAAAGAAGAAAAAAAAAGUCUCAACCCUUUUGAUGCGGAUCCACAAAAAGGCUUCACCUUACUUUCUUCUUUGAUUUCAAAAUUCGAGAUCCCAAAACGUCCUAAUAAUACGCAGCACUGUCACCGAAAAAGCAG
rnacentral:misc_RNA from 1 species